rnacentral:rRNA from 1 species
CAUGCCUUACACAUGCAAGUCGAACGGCAGCGGGGGAGAGGCUUGCUUUUCCUGCCGGCGAGUGGCGGACGGGUGAGUAAUAUAUCGGAACGUGCCCAGUCGGGGGGGAUAACGCAGCGAAAGCUGUGCUACUACCGCAUACGAUCUAUGGAAGAAAGCGGGGUAUCGCAAGACCUCGCGCGAUUGGACCGGCCGAUAUCAGAUUAGCUAGUUGGUGAGGUAAAGGCUCACCAAGGCGACGAUCUGUAGCUGGUCUGAGAGGACGACCAGCCACACUGGAACUGAGACACGGUCCAGACUCCUACGGGAGGCAGCAGUGGGGAAUUUUGGACAAUGGGCGCAAGCCUGAUCCAGCAAUGCCGCGUGCAGGAUGAAGGCCUUCGGGUUGUAAACUGCUUUUGUACGGAGCGAAACGGUCUUUCCUAAUACGAGAGGCUAAUGACGGUACCGUAAGAAUAAGCACCGGCUAACUACGUGCCAGCCGCCGCGGUAA